rnacentral:rRNA from 1 species
UACGGAGGGGGCUAGCGUUGUUCGGAAUUACUGGGCGUAAAGCGUACGUAGGCGGCUUUGUAAGUUAGAGGUGAAAGCCCGGGGCUCAACCCCGGAAUUGCCUUUAAGACUGCAUCGCUUGAAUCAUGGAGAGGUGAGUGGAAUUCCGAGUGUAGAGGUGAAAUUCGUAGAUAUUCGGAAGAACACCAGUGGCGAAGGCGGCUCACUGGCCCGAUACUGACGCUGAGGCACGAAAGCGUGGGGAGCAAACAGG